CGCACAAAAGUUGCCCGAAGAACGCCAGAAAACGCAUCAAAGUUGACCAAGAACGAAGAACCAAGAAGAAGGAAGAACGCCCGAAGGUUGCCCGAAGAUUGUCAGAAGGCAGCCAGACACACUGCCCACAGCGCACAAGCCAGCGGAGAAACACACAGGAGGAUCGGAGCACAGUCUAAAACAAAGAAACAAACAAACGACAACAAGCCAAGAACGCCAGAAAGAUGCCGGAAGAUUGCCGGAAGAACGCACAAAAAUUGCCCGAAGAACGCCAGAAAACGCAUCAAAGUUGACCAAGAACGAAGAACCUAGAAGAAGGAAGAACGCCCGAAGGUUGCCGGAAGAUUGCCUAGAAAGUAGGCCGGCAGAUUGUCAGAAGGCAGCCAGACACACUGCCCACAGCGCACAAGCCAGCGGAGAAACACACAGGAGGAUCGGAGCAGUCUAAAACAAAGAAACAAACAAACGACAACAAGCCAAGAACGCCAGAAAGAUGCCGGAAGAUUGCCGGAAGAACGCACAAAAGUUGCCCGAAGAACGCCAGAAAACGCAUCAAAGUUGACCAAGAACGAAGAACCUAGAAGAAGGAAGAACGCCCGAAGGUUGCCGGAAGAUUGCCUAGAAAGUAGGCCGGCAGAUUGUCAGAAGGCAGCCAGACACACUGCCCACAGCGCACAAGCCAGCGGAGAAACACACAGGAGGAUCGGAGCACAGUCUAAAACAAAGAAACAAACAAACGACAACAAGCCAAGAACGCCAGAAAGAUGCCGGAAGAUUGCCGGAAGAACGCACAAAAAUUGCCCGAAGAACGCCAGAAAACGCAUCAAAGUUGACCAAGAACGAAGAACCUAGAAGAAGGAAGAACGCCCGAAGGUUGCCGGAAGAUUGCCUAGAAAGUAGGCCGGCAGAUUGUCAGAAGGCAGCCAGACACACUGCCUACAGCGCAUAAGCCAGCGGAGAAACACACAGGAGGAUCGGAGCACAGUCUAAAACAAAGAAACAAACAAACGACAACAAGCCAAGAACGCCAGAAAGAUGCCGGAAGAUUGCCGGAAGAACGCACAAAAAUUGCCCGAAGAACGCCAGAAAACGCAUCAAAGUUGACCAAGAACGAAGAACCAAGAAGAAGGAAGAACGCCCGAAGGUUGCCGGAAGAUUGCCUAGUGACGCCCGAAGAACGCCAGAAAACGCAUCAAAGUUGACCAAGAACGAAGAACCUAGAAGAAGGAAGAACGCCCGAAGGUUGCCGGAAGAUUGCCUAGAAAGUAGGCCGGCAGAUUGUCAGAAGGCAGCCAGACACACUGCCCACAGCGCACAAGCCAGCGGAGAAACACACAGGAGGAUCGGAGCAGUCUAAAACAAAGAAACAAACAAACGACAACAAGCCAAGAACGCCAGAAAGAUGCCGGAAGAUUGCCGGAAGAACGCCAGAAAACGCAUCAAAGUUGACCAAGAACGAAGAACC